GGCCCCGUGGCCUAGCCUGGAAGGGCGGCGGCCUUCUAAGCCGCAGGUCCCGGGUUCAAAUCCCGGCGGGGCCGCCA
rnacentral:tRNA from 1 species